rnacentral:rRNA from 1 species
AGAGUUUGAUCCUGGCUCAGAACGAACACUGGCGGCGUGGAUUAGGCAUGCAAGUCGAACGAGAAAGUUUCCUUCGGGAGACGAGUACAGUGGCGAACGGGUGAGUAACGCGGGGGAAAUCUGCCCUUUAAUGGGGGAUAACAGUUCUAACGAGCUGCUAAUACCGCAUAAGAUCCUUGGACCGCAUGGCCCGGGGAUGAAAGAUGGCCUCUACAUGUAAGCUGUCGUUGAAGGAUGAUCCCGCGUCCCAUUAGCUUGUUGGUGGGGUAAAAGCCUACCAAGGCGACGAUGGGUAGCCGGCCUGAGAGGGUGUCCGGCCACACUGGGACUGAGAUACGGCCCAGACUCCUACGGGAGGCAGCAGUCGAGAAGCUUCCGCAAUGGGGGAAACCCUGACGGAGCGACGCCGCGUGAGUGAAGAAGGCCCUAUGGGUUGUAAAGCUCUGUCAGAUUGGGAAGAAAACUCUACGGGUAAUAUCCGUAGGGCUUGACGGUACCAUCAGAGGAAGCACCGGCUAACUCCGUGCCAGCAGCCGCGGUAAUACGGAGGGUGCAAGCGUUGUUCGGAUUCACUGGGUAUAAAGGGUGCGCAGGCGGCCCAAUAAGUCAGAGGUGAAAUAUGACGGCUCAACCGUCAAACGGCCCCUGAAACUGUUGGGCUUGAGUUCGAGAGAGGUAGGUGGAAUUCCAGGUGUAGCGGUGAAAUGCGUAAAUAUCUGGAGGAACACCGGUGGCGAAGGCGGCCUACUGGCUCGAUACUGACGCUCAGGCACGAAAGCAUGGGGAGCGAACGGGAUUAGAUACCCCGGUAGUCCAUGCCGUAAACGAUGGCUACUAGGUGUUGGGGGAGUCUACCCCCUCAGUGCCGCAGCUAACGCAUUAAGUACCCCACCUGGGGAGUACGAUCGCAAGGUUGAAACUCAAAGGAAUUGACAGGGGCCCGCACAAGCGGUGGAGCAUGUGGUUUAAUUCGAUGCAACGCGAAGAACCUUACCUGGGCUUGACAUGCAGGGGACAGGUAUAGAAAUAUACCCUUCUUCGGACUCCUGUACAGGUGCUGCAUGGCUGUCGUCAGCUCGUGUCGUGAAAUGUUGGGUUAAGUCCCGCAACGAGCGCAACCCUUGUCUUUAGUUGCCAUCAGGUAAUGCUGGGGACUCUAGAGAGACUGCCGGUGACAAACCGGAGGAAGGUGGGGACGACGUCAAGUCAUCAUGGCCCUUACGCCCAGGGCUACACACGUGCUACAAUGGUCGGUACAAUGGGCUGCAAUACAGUGAUGUGGAGCGAAUCCCAAAAAGCCGGCCUCAGUUCGGAUCGUAGUCUGCAACUCGACUACGUGAAGUUGGGAUCGCUAGUAAUCGCGUAUCAGAACGACGCGGUGAAUACGUUCCCGGGCCUUGUACACACCGCCCGUCACACCAUGGGAGUUGGUUGCACCAGAAGUAGAUAGCCUAACCUUCGGGAGGGCGUUUACCACGGUGUGAUCAAUGACUGGGGUGAAGUCGUAACAAGGUA